rnacentral:tRNA from 1 species
GGGGAUGUAGCUCAAUUGUAGAGUGCUUGCCUAGCAUGCGUGAGGCCCUGGGUACAAUCGCCAGUAUUGCCA